rnacentral:rRNA from 1 species
CAUGGAAGUCGGAAUCCGCUAAGGAGGGUGUAACAACUCACCUGCCGAAUGGACUAGCCCCGAAAAUGGAUGGCUCUCAAGCGGGUGACCGAUACCCAACCACUGUUUCAAACAUAUCAGUGUGUAGGAGGGCAUGGAAGUUCGUAACGAAGCUUUUGGUGAAAACCUGGGUGAAACAACUACUAGUGCAGAUCUUGGUGGUAGUAGCAAUUAUUCAAACGAAAUCUUUGAAGACUGAAGUGGAG